AAGGAUUUAAGUUAACCUUAAACUAUUAACCUUCAAAGUUAAAAAUAGAAUCACCUAAGCCUUA
rnacentral:tRNA from 1 species